GUCGAACGGGAUUGGUAGCAAUACCAUGAGAGUGGCGAACGGGUGCGUAACACGUAUAGAAUCUGCCCAUUACACGGGGAUAGCCUUUCGAAAGGGAGAUUAAUACCCGAUAGCACUGCGAGGAGGCAUCUUUUUGCAGUUAAAGUUUCGGCGGUAAUGGAGGACUAUGCGUCCGAUUAGCUAGUUGGUAGUGUAAGGGACUACCAAGGCUACGAUCGGUAGGGGUUCUGAGAGGAUGAUCCCCCACACUGGUACUGAGAUACGGACCAGACUCCUACGGGAGGCAGCAGUAGGGAAUAUUGGGCAAUGGACGGAAGUCUGACCCAGCCACGCCGCGUGCAGGAAGACGGUCCUCUGGAUUGUAAACUGCUUUUGUAUAGGAAGAAAAAGCCUUUGCGAAGGAACUUGCCGGUACUAUACGAAUAAGCAUCGGCUAACUCCGUGCCAGCAGCCGCGGUAAUACGGAGGAUGCGAGCGUUGUCCGGAAUUACUGGGUUUAAAGGGUGCGUAGGCGGGUAUAUAAGUGAGAGUUGAAAGGCAGUUGCUCAACAAUUGUAAGGCUCUCAUACUGUGUAUCUUGAGUGUGUUGGAGGCAGAUGGAAUGGUAGGAGUAGCGGUGAAAUGCAUAGAUACCUACCAGAACACCGAUUGCGAAGGCAUUCUGCUACACCACAACUGACGCUGAGGCACGAAAGCGUGGGUAUCAAACAGGAUUAGAUACCCUGGUAGUCCACGCUGUAAACGAUGGUUACUUGAUGUAUGCCUGUAUAGGUAUGUGUCUAAGCGAAAGCGAUAAGUAACCCACCUGGGGAGUACGGCGGCAAGGUUGAAACUCAAAGGAAUUGACGGGGGUCCGCACAAGCGGUGGAGCAUGUGGUUUAAUUCGAUGAUACGCGAGGAACCUUACCUGGUCUAGAAUGCUGAGGGAAUGCUUCUGAGAUGUGGUAGUCCUUCGUGACGGUUAGCAAGGUGCUGCAUGGCUGUCGUCAGCUCGUGCUGUGAGGUGUUGGGUUAAGUCCUGUAACGAGCGCAACCCCUGUCGUUAGUUGCCAGCGCGUGAUGUUGGGAACUCUAAGGAGACUGCCUGUGCAAGUCGUGAGGAAGGUGGGGAUGACGUCAAGUCAUCACGGCCCUUACGUCCUGGGCUACACACGUGCUACAAUGGGCGGUGCAGAGGGUAGCGAGUUCGUGAUCCUGAGCCAAUCUUUAAAGUCGUUCUCAGUUCGGAUUGGAGUCUGCAACUCGCCUGUGUGAAGCUGGAUUCGCUAGUAAUCGCAGAUCAGCCAUGCUGCGGUGAAUACGUUCCCGGGCCUUGUACACACCGCCCGUCAAGCCAUGGAAGUUGGGGGUACCUGAAGUCGGUGACCGCAAGGAGCUGCCUAGGGUAAAACUGGUAACUAGGGCUAAGUCGUAACAAGGUAACCAAGGG
rnacentral:rRNA from 1 species